GUAGAUCAAAAAUGAAAGAAAACCAUGAGUCAACAUGUCAACAUUACCUGAUGCUGCUGAAGUGAAGCAGAGCAAAGUUACAGAGGUUUGAUUAGAGACACAGCUGAGGGUUUUGUAAUUUGGCAUCACUUUACAUUUCUUCUCUGUUAAACAGCAGAAAUGAGGCUUUCUUGUUGGAGGUCAUUUUCAAGGGGAAAAAACGGUGUAAUAAUAAUAAGUAGGUCAAAGGUCAGGUUACACUGGUUAAACAGGAUCAGCAGAAAUUAAACAAGGAUAAAGAAAUAAUACAUCAAACAAGGAAAUAAAUUAAAAGUUUGAGUUAAUGAGAAAUUAAACGUUUAAAUCAGGUUAAGAGUUAAAUUUUGAGCCUUUGUUAGUUAAACCAGAUAAAAUAAUCGGAAUAACCGAUUUGGGGGAAAAUCGCAAAGAUGUUGUAAUCAAAGCUCUUUUAAAAUAGUUUGUACGGCAUAAAGAAAAACACGUUUCAGUAAAUUGUAUAUUGAGCCAAAACCGCGAAGUCACUGGUAGUGACCUCAGAUCAUUGUUACUGAAGAAGGAGGAAUUCUGCCUUAAACAGUAAAGUGUUCUUUAACUGUGUGUGUGUGUGUGUGUGUGUGUGUGUCUGCAGCUGUUCUUUGUGUUGUUGCUGGAUCGUUGCCUCAGGGGGAAAGUUGUGUGUGUGUUGAACAUGCAGACUAACAGAGACUGCAGCUGUCAGCAGCCACACACACUUUAUAUUCUUCAAAUCAAAUCACAGUGAAACAUGUUCACUGACAGCUCAGCUUCAGCAUCUUAUUCAUGCUGUGACUGCAGCCGUUCAACUCUGUUUCUCUUUAACCCAAAUCAUCACAACAUGGAAAUAUAAUCAUCAAAAUGAUGUGACUGGAAGGAUGCAGCAGUCUGUGCUCCACCUUUCUCCUCCACACCUGCAGGUGGAGAACAUGGAUGCAUGAAUCUCUACAGAGUUCUUUGAAUAUUAUCCGUCUUAUCAGUUUUCAGUGAACAAAAAUCCUCACAGAGCCAAAAUAAGCAGUUUGUAUCCAACAUAACUCAGCUGGACUCUGAUGCUCCGUAUAACAGCCACACAUGAGUCUGGAUUCACUCAAAGCAUUGAACAAACUUUAUUGUAAAUGAAGCUUUUGGACAUUUAUUCUCUGAUAUUUGCUCUUCAGCUCGAGUCUCCAUCAGUGGGAACAUUUCCUGAUUCAACUUUUCUUCUGUUCAAAUCAAACUCCAUGAGAAUCAAAGUGUGAAUCAGAGUCCUGAUGAUCAGAUUCUAUAGAAACAUGGAGACUGUAGAGGAUUUACACU